ensembl:lncRNA
GGCCCCUGGCCAGUAGCACACAGACCUGUCACCACUCUCCCUCAACUGCAGGGCCAUCAGUGCAGCCGUGGCCUCUGGCACGCCUGCCACACCGGCACCUGUCCGCCACUGCCCCCUAGAUCGUACCCAACGCACACCUGUGCCACCCCCUCCUGCACUCGGUUUGCGCAUCUCUGCACCUCUCCCCCUGCGCCCCUUGCCCUGGACGCACCUGGAGGUUGCGCUUGCGCUCGCAGGCCGGGCCCGUGCCCUGCACCACGCUGUCCAGCACCGCCACCACCCCGGCCGCCGGCUCCACGAAGCAGGCGGCGCGUGCGGAGCGGAUAGCAGCCUGCACGUCGGCGAAGAGGAAGGCGCAGAGUGCGGCGGGAGCAGGCGCGGUGCGGGGCGCGGGGAUCGCCGGGGGCCGCUCGAAGACACCGAAGAGGCGCUCUCGCGCGGGGAACACGGACACCAGGCGGCUGUAGAGGUCACCGCGGCCCGCGCCUCCCGCGCACUGCAGGCCUAGCUCAAUGUAGGACUCAGUGAGCUUCUUGGCGUCGCCGCGCGGCAGGCAGAUGCGCGCCAGCAGGCUCCGCGCCUGGCCGUCCUUGUCGCCCGCUCGCGCUUCGCUAGUGAACGCCAAGUAGGCGUAGGGCUGCACACCCGGCGGAUGCAGGAAGGCGCGCACGAAGCGCAGCCGGUGCCGCUCCUUGGCGCCCUGCUUGAUCUUAAGCACAUUGUCGUCCGACGGGUUCAAGUCGAAGCAACCCCUGCCUCAAAUUGCAAGCCUAGGGUGACAGAAGCCUCUGAAUUCUCCAUGGACGUCGAGAGCAGAGCCUGGCACAGCCCCACACAGGGCCAGGCCGGAGCGAGAACCCUGGCGGGCAGUCAGGAGGGGAGAACACAGAGCCCCUGCAUCCCCCACCCCUCUCCUCAUCCUCUGCAGGCCGGAAGGAAGCCCAGGCGGGAGUCUGGCCCUCAGCUCCCAGAUGAGGAGAACUCGCUCAGAAGGAAAAUAACAUCAGUGCCAUUGUCCCGGCUCCAAAUCCUGCCUGAAAAACAAAGCCAGCCCCACUGCAGCCGGGGAUUCCCUGGCAAAGCCUCAGCCCGGCAGCCUGGUCAGGGCGGCGCAGACCCGCAGGGAGGCAAAGGGGUCAGCACCUGCAGUGGAGACUCCCGUGUACCCCACAAGCCCGGCAGCUGCCGCCAAGGGCUGCAGAGGCGGCUGGGGAGGAGGACGGUAGGCGGCGCCCCCUGAACAUCUGGCGACUUCUGCCCACUCCUGGACAGCUGUGUGCGGCUCUCAAAUUUCAACCCACCUCUCUCCUCCCCCGCAGCUGGCUGUGUCCACUCCUGGAUCCACCCCAGGGCCCGGGCAAGGGGGACAGGAGGCACAGAGUGUGGGGGAUGGGGUGGGGGUGGCCCGUGGGCUGGGAGGAGGCCCUCGGGGGUUU